rnacentral:rRNA from 1 species
AUUGAACGCUAGCGGGAUGCCUUACACAUGCAAGUCGAACGAGUGGCGAACGGGUGAGUAAUGUAUCGGAACGUGCCCAGUAGCGGGGGAUACCUACGCGAAAGCGUAGCUAAUACCGCAUACUAUCGGAUGUGCCCCUAUGGGAUGAGCUAGUAGGUGGGGUAAUGGCUCACCUAGGCGACGACCCCUAGCUGGUUUGAGAGGAUGACCAGCCACACUUGAACUGAGACACGGUCCAGACUCCUACGGGAGGCAGCAGAGGGGAAUAUUGCACAAUGGGCGCAAGCCUGAUGCAGCCAUGCCGCGUGUAUGAGGAAGGCCUUCGGGUUGUAAAGUACUUUCAGCGAGGAGGCGUUACUCGCAGAAGAAGCACCGGCUAACUCCGUGCCAGCAGCCGCGGUAAUAC